rnacentral:rRNA from 1 species
GACGAACGCUGGCGGCGUGCUUAACACAUGCAAGUCGAGCGGUAAGGCCCUUUCGGGGGUACGACGAGCGGCGAACGGGUAGGAGUAACACGUGGGUGGACCUCGCCCUCCAGCUCUGGGAGUAAGCCUGGGAAACCGGGGUACCGUAAUACCGGAUAUGACUCCAUGACGCAUGUUGUGGGGUGGAAAGACCUUGUGCGGCGUGAGGAGUGGGCCCGGCCGGCCGU